rnacentral:rRNA from 1 species
AUUGAACGCUGGCGGCGUGCCUAACACAUGCAAGUCGAGCGGUAACAGGCGUAGCAAUACGUGCUGACGAGCGGCGAACGGGUGAGUAAUGCUUAGGAGUCUGCCUAUGAGUGGGGGACAACAUCUCGAAAGGGAUGCUAAUACCGCAUACGUCCUACGGGAGAAAGCAGGGGAUCUUCGGACCUUGCGCUAAUAGAUGAGCCGAAGUAGGAUUAGCUAGUUGGUGGGGUAAAGGCCUGCCAAGGCGACGAGCUGUAGCGGGUCUGAGAGGAUGAUCCGCCACACUGGGACUGAGACACGGCCCAGACUCCUACGGGAGGCAGCAGUGGGGAAUAUUGGACAAUGGGGGGAACCCUGAUCCAGCCAUGCCGCGUGUGUGAAGAAGGCCUUAUGGUUGUAAAGCACUUUAAGCGAGGAGGAGGCUACUGAGACUAAUACUCUUGGAUAGUGGACGUUACUCGCAGAAUAAGCACCGGCUAACUCUGUGCCAGCCGCCGCCGUAACAC